UCUCUUGUGCUCGGGCAUGUACUGUCGCCAGUGAGGUCUUUACCGAGGCACAGUCUUUUGCUGAUUGCAAAUUACACAUCCGAACUCGUCUGUUAGCUUCGGCUUCCAGCAAUUUUUGGAAAACACCCUACAACUCCUGUUUGCAGUGA
rfam:Paxillus rubicundulus Ve08.2h10 scaffold_188_c1, whole genome shotgun sequence.